GGAUAUGAGGGUGAUCUGGCUGUGACGUCUGUCACCUCCUUGAUCGCCAGGAUUGAUUCGGCUGAUCUAUCUGGCUAGAUGGAUCUCCCCUUCCACCUUCACUGAUCCAUGCGUCUCCCUCCCGAAGCUGCGUGCUCAAAGAGGACAACCUUCCCCACAUACAGGAGCACUGCUCUUCAGUCAAGGGCGUACGAGUAGCUUUGCUCCCCCGCUAGAACCUCCAAACAAGUUCUCAAGGUAGGGACUCACUCUAGCCCAGGCUGACCUGCAAUUCUCUAUACAGUCUCAAGGUGGCCUUGAACUCAUGGCAAUCCUC
rnacentral:snRNA from 1 species